rnacentral:rRNA from 1 species
AGAGUUUGAUCCUGGCUCAGAACGAACGCUGGCGGCGUGGAUAAGACAUGCAAGUCGAACGGGUGACUGAUAAGCUUGCUUAAAGGUCACUAGUGGCGCACGGGUGAGUAACACGUGAGUAACCUGCCCAUGAGACGCGGAUAGCCUUGGGAAACCGGGAGUAAUACGCGAUGGACUCGGAAGAGUAAAGGGAGCAAUCCGCUUAUGGAGGGGCUCGCGGCCUAUUAGGUAGUUGGUGAGGUAACGGCUCACCAAGCCGAUGACGGGUAGCCGGUCUGAGAGGAUGUCCGGCCACACUGGAACUGAGACACGGUCCAGACACCUACGGGUGGCAGCAGUCGAGAAUCAUUCACAAUGGGGGGAACCCUGAUGGUGCGACGCCGCGUGGGGGAGGAAGGUCUUCGGAUUGUAAACCCCUGUCAUGCAGGAGCAAGGCGAGAGUUGAUAGUACUGCAAGAGGAAGAGACGGCAAACUCUGUGUCAGCAGCCGCGGUAAUACAGAGGUCUCAAGCGUUGUUCGGAAUCACUGGGCGUAAAGGGUACGUAGGCGGCGGGGCAAGUUGCGCGUGAAAGGCAGGGGCUCAACCUCUGGAAUGCGCGUGAAACUACCCUGCUAGAGCGAUGGAGGGGGAACCGGAAUUCUUGGUGUAGCAGUGAAAUGCGUAGAUAUCAAGAAGAAGACUCGUGGCGAAGGCGGGUUCCUGGACAUGAGCUGACGCUGAGGUACGAAGGUCAGGGUAGCGAAAGGGAUUAGAUACCCCUGUAGUCCUGGCAGUAAACGGUGCACGCUUGGUGUGGGGAGGAAUCGACCCCUUCCAUGCCGAAGCCAAGCCGAUAAGCGUGCCGUCUGGGGGAGAUCGGUCGCAAGAUUAAAACUCAAAGAAAUUGUGGGGGACCCGCACAAGCGGUGGAGUAUGUGGCUUAAUUCGAUGCAACGCGAAGAACCUUACCAGGGCUUGACAUCCCGCGAAGACUCGUGAAAGCGAGGGAUACCCUUCUGGGACGCGGAGACAGGUGCUGCAUGGCCGUCGUCAGCUCGUGUCGUGAGAUGUUUGGUUAAGUCCAGCAACGAGCGCAACCCCUGCUGCCAGUUACCAGCGAGUAAAGUCGGGGACUCAGGCGGGACUGCCCAGAUCAACUGGGAGGAAGGUGGGGACGACGUCAGGUCAGUAUGGCCCUUACGCCCUGGGCUGCACACGUACUACAAUGCCCAGUACAGAGUGAGGCGAGUCGGAGACGGCGAGCGGAUCCCGAAAAGUGGGCACAGUUCGGAUUGGAGGCUGCAACUCGCCUCCAUGAAGUCGGAAUCGCUAGUAAUGGCGCAUCAGCAACGACGCCGUGAAUACGUUCCCGGGUCUUGCACUCAAAGCCCGUCA